AUUGAACGCUGGCGGCAGGCCUAACACAUGCAAGUCGAACGAGUGGCGGAAGGGUGAGUAAUGUCUGGGAAACUGCAUGAUGGAGGGGGAUAACUACUGGAAACGGUAGACAAUACCGCAUAACAUCAGAUGUGCCCAGAUGGGUUUAGCUAGUUGGUGGGGUAACGGAGCACAAAGGCGACGAUCCCUAGCUGGUCUGAGAGGAGGACCAGCCAAACGGGAACGGAGACACGGUCCAGACUCCUACGGGAGGCAGCAGUGGGGAAUAUUGCGCAAUGGGGGCAAGCCUGAUGCAGCCAUACGGCGUGGAGGAAGAAGGCCUUCGGGUGUUAAAGUAUUUUCAGCGGGGAAGCGUUACCCGAAGAGGAAGCACCGGCUAACUCCGUGCCAGCCGCCGCGGUAAUUC
rnacentral:rRNA from 1 species